rnacentral:rRNA from 1 species
CGGGUGAGUAACACGUGGGAAAUCUGCCCUGAACUCUGGGACAAGCCUUGGAAACGAGGUCUAAUACCGGAUAUUACCGUGGAGCGCAUGCUCUGUGGUGGAAAGCUCCGGCGGUUCAGGAUGAUCCCGCGGCCUAUCAGCUUGUUGGUGGGGUAAUGGCCUACCAAGGCGACGACGGGUAGCCGGCCUGAGAGGGCGACCGGCCACACUGGGACUGAGACACGGCCCAG